AGGACAGAGAACAUAGGAGGCCGCGCGAAACGCCUGCUCGGAGCGCGGGACCGGGACUGCCUUCCGCACAGGCUCCGCCCCCAGGCGUUGCUUCGGCUCAGGAAGGACUGCUAUAUACAGGCGUGGACACGUACAUCUAUAUGUACAUAUACCUCCUGACCAGGAAGAAACUGCCCACAAACCAUCCCAAAACAAGCCAACAGAAUCAGAGCAAGCCAAACUACUUGACUUGAAAGCUGUGGGGUUGCUUUCCUUGUGGUGCUGCAUGCCUAUCGCCAGAUGGUGCUGUGUAAAGGCAUAAAAAGCACAUCUCAUGACGGUCCCUGCCCCUUACUUGGACUAAAAUGGAGCUUAACUUUUGUCAUUUCAUUGAACUUUCCUUUGUUCAAGAGCAGAGAAAAAAAUAAAGAAAUGGGACACAAUUCAGUAAUAUACUAAGUAUCUUCUACUAUAAUCUACAAGCUCAUCAACUGGAAACAGCAGAGGUGGAGAAGAACUGUGAGCUUGUUGAUCAUAGGAUGACUAUGAACCAUCAGUGUGAUGCUGCUGUAAAAAGGUGAAUGUUAUCCUAGCGUGUAUUAGAAGUUUUUCCGAUAUAGCUAGAAAAGAAUUAAUGUCAUUGUUUGAGCCCCUGGUGAGACCACAACUGGAACAUUAAGUACAAUUUUGUUCUUCUUUAUUCACGAAAGAUAAAUUGAAACUGGAACAGGAGCAAAUGUGGACUUACUUGGAUGAUUGGCGGAAUGGUGAACUCUACCUGACAAGAAAAGACAAGAAAAACUGUGCAUGUUUAGCCUAGUAAAAUUAAGGCUUUGAUGUGUCCAUGUGACUUGUUUAUAAGUAUAUCAAGGGAGUACAUACGAGGGAGGAAAACGAACAAUUUAAGAUAAAGAACAAUGCUGGCUGUAGAGCAGUGAGUAUAAAUUGGUCAUGAAUAAAUUUAAACUGGGCAUUACAAGAAGAUUCCUAAUCACUACAGCAAUGAGGUUCUGAAAAAAAACUUUUCAACAGAAGUAAGAGUAAGAACAAACUGUAUUGCUUUUAAGAUAAAGCUAAAUAUACCUACAAAAGGAAUUAUACAAGGUAGUGCCUGUGGUCAAAAGCAGGACUUGAUGACUUAGAUGGUUUCUUCUGGCCAAUGAACCUAUAUCCUAUUGAAAAGAGAAGAGACUAGCAAACAAAAGCCAUUGCACAUCAUAUUUAAUUGUUAUUGUUAUUAUUACAAAUUUUUAUUGAUAGUCCUCAUUACAUGAUCAUAGUCCAUUAGAACAGGUGCCCAUCUCCUGGAUGCUCACCUUCCAGAUUAUCUGGUUGGGGGGAGAAGUCUUCCCUCAUAACCGUCUGCUAAGAGAGAAAGGAAGAUGUGUAUUGUCCCCCUUUUCCUUUCUGCUGUGAAAUAAGAUGGGGAGAAUACAAUAGCAGCUUUCUUCCAGCCUUCUUUUGGUUUUUGGCUUCUUAAAAAAAAAAGCCACUCUCUCUUGUUGAAGAUGCUUUUUUAGAAUGUUGAUAGCUGUAAGUGUUGGAGAGAGAUCAACACUCUGAAACAUGAACUCCCUAUUUGUAUUAAAGAGAGUUAAGCAGAAUCUUGCUUGGGUUGAGGCAUGAUCUAUUGCAGAAAUACAUAGAACAGAAAUGUCAGAAAGGCACUUGAUGGGAAAUAUAAAUAAAAAAAGAGAAGCCAUUUCAGCGAAUGAUCGCUACCAUGUAAAUGACUGGUAUUGUAUACAGACUGUCUUGUGACUGGUGGCAGGGGGUGGGGGAGAUGCCCCUUGUGCUUCCUCAUAAAGAUCUGCACUCUUGAUAUUUCCUGCGAAAUUCCUCCUGAUUAAGUAAGUGUUUGCUGCUCAGCCUUAGGACAGCUUUGGGAAAGGAAGCUGGACCUCUUACACUAUAGCUGUAAGGAGGAAUAUUAGUUAACUGAGUGGCAGACCAUGUGUGCAACUUUCUUGUCUUCAAAUCGCAUCUAAAAUGAAGCCAGAAUGACCCCAAUAAAGGUGAUUAUGUUGGCCUAGGUACACAUAUGAAGUUUUAAUUUUACAGAUGCCUAUUGCUGGUGAUGAUUUAUAAGCCAGAAAAAACCUCUGUGAUACCUUGCGUGCCUCGCAACUGAAAAUAACCCGGAAGCAACUCUUCACUUGCAAAGUCAGAGUUUGAUCUGGGAAUCAUUGGCACCAAAUGUGGAAUCACCCAGUGCCAUAUUCAAGUGGUAUUUCAGAGAAGGGCUCCAUAUAAGUUCAGGCUGUAUGAAAUUCAGGCUCUAUAAACAAAAAGAGCACUGCUCAGGCAGGAUCUGACUCCUUCCCGUGAUAUUAAACGUUGCACUGUCUAUGUAUGUUUAUAGUUAUUUGUCACACACAGCCUUGAUACUUUAAAUGGAAAUGGCUGCUAUAUGC